rnacentral:lncRNA from 1 species
GGCCUUGACAAUGGCCAGAAGGCCCUGGUAGCCAGCGGUGUGCUGUGGGUAGGGGCUGUAGCGCUGGCCACUGGUGUCAUAGCCAUUGACUGUGCGGCUGAGGUGCUUGUGCUGGGGCACACGGAUGUUGGUGGGGAAGAUCUUGAUGGACAGCGGGCUGUUGGCCACCUUCUCGGCAUAGGCGUCCAGUUCUGCUGGGCUCGGGUAGCGGGAGGAAUGCAUG